rnacentral:rRNA from 1 species
CAGCCGCCGCGGGAAUACGUAGGGUGCAAGCGUUAAUCGGAAUUACUGGGCGUAAAGCGUGCGCAGGCGGUUAUAUAAGUCAGAUGUGAAAUCCCCGGGCUCAACCUGGGAACUGCAUUUGAGACUGUAUGGCUAGAGUGUGUCAGAGGGGGGUAGAAUUCCACGUGUAGCAGUGAAAUGCGUAGAUAUGUGGAGGAAUACCGAUGGCGAAGGCAGCCCCCUGGGAUAACACUGACGCUCAUGCACGAAAGCGUGGGGAGCAAACAGGAUUAGAUACCCCGGUAGUCCCUGUCUCUUAUAC